UGGUGAAAGAUAGCUGGUUUCUAGCCUU
rnacentral:piRNA from 1 species